AUAUCAGAAGUGAAUCUCACUAUAAUACACCCAGUGUCAUUUAGACUCUGUUUGAAUUAUCUCCAACAAGAAGGGAGGCAACUCUCAAAAAUAGCUCAUUCUACUUUUUGAGAGCUCUAAUUAUUAGGAAACUUGUUGUAAAAUCAAAACUAAAAUUUCUGCUUUGUUACUUCCACCCAUUAUUUCUGGUUCUGCAGAAUAUCUAAUAAUUUUUCCAUAUGCCCACCCUUUAAAAAAAUAAACAUAGCUAUCCCCUUCCUCCUAGAGUCUUCUCUUCAUUAUGUUAAACAUCCCUAGUUCCUUCAACCAAAACUCAAAUAGUAUGUAUUUGAAGUUCUUUAAUAUCCUGGUCAUCCUUCUCUGAACACUCCAGCACCAGGAGUCCCACAGUAUUCUCCCUAAAAUGUGAUGCCCACAACUGAAUACAAUUCUCCACAUGUGUUCUGAAUAGGGGACAAUGCAGAGAGAGUACCUUAUUACUGGAAGUUACAAUUCUCUUAAUGCAGUCCAAUAUCAAAUUAGCUUUUUUGGACUGUUUUAUCACAUCAUCAACUCUGAACUUUCAGUCUACUGAAAACUAAAAUCAUUCUAAACACUAACUUAUUUAAUUAUGCCUUUCCCAUUCUAUAGUUAUAAAUUUAUCUGAACCCAAGUGUAAAACUAUACAUUUUUCCCUAUUGAAUUUCAUCUUAUUAGUUUUGAUCCAGUGUUCUAGCUUGUCAAGAUCUUUUGGGAAGUUGACUCUUUUAAUCCAGUGUGUUAGCUCUCUCAACUUCUGCAAGUUUAAUGGGCAAACCUUCAUCCAAUCAUUGAAGAAAAUGUCAAAUAGCAUAGGGCCAAUCAUAGAUUUCUGUGGCAUUCUAUUAGGGAAGACAAAAUGUAAGUAAAUAGGCACAUACAAGAGAGAAACAGAGAAGUUUAGAAGGUAAACUUAAAGUAGACAGCUCUAGCAAAUGGAAAAAUGGGAAAAGUCUCCAAGAGAUGAGAUUUGAGCUGAGUCUUGCAUCUGAGAUGCAGAAUUGAUAAGGGAGAACAUCCCAAGAAUAUAGAACAGUAAUAGCAAAGGAAAAAUGCAUUGUUAUUAUUUAAAUUCUCUGAGAUUGUAUCUUAAUUUAUAAUUAUUUACUAAAUAAUAAAAAGUGGGCCAGAGAGAGAAUAAGCAUCAGCCCUGUGUGGCCAGCAGUUCUCUUAGCAGUCCCAGACCCGAGCUUGACAGUACUUCCACUUAGUGUUGUAUUCUAAAGAAAGAGAGCCCCACUUCCUCCCCAUACUCCAAUGUAUGCUCUUUGUGACAUCACAAGCCUCUUUGGAAUACUCCAACAUCACUAUGAACAGGAGGCAGGUCUUCUGGGCACCAGGAGUCCCACAGUGUUUAGAAUGGCCUCUCAGUACACCUGUUCACUUUUCUUUGCCUGACUCUGCUGAGCUUCACAGUCUUAAGAGGCUUGUUUACAGAUACACAAAGAGCUUGUGUCUAUCUCCAUUCAUCAAAGAGGGAAGAAACUUGUUGGAGCUUGUAUCUUAAGAACAAAUUUCUUCCUCUUUUAAAGUCCAAAGACUGAAUGCUCCUAGGGCACAGAAAUUCAAGCUGAACAACAAGACAGAAGCGGGCAACCCUCCUUCUGGACUCAAAUCAAAAGGUAUGCCCCCCAAAAGCCGGAAUCCGAGAAUACUCAGGGCUAAGGGGAAGGCAGAGCGAAGGUCCCAGGACCCCUCCCCCACAACCCAGAGGGCUGAGCCCCCAGCAGCAGCGGGAACCUAUGAGCGGGCAAAGGUGCUGGUUUGCAGGGUCUACCUUGUGAGCAGCGGGGCGCCAGGCUUGGAGCAUCCAGCUUGGACAGCGGGGAGGAAGCCAGGGAGAAACGGGCUGUGGCUGGGUCCCUCCAUCUGGCUCCAGUCUCACCCUGGCCUCGGGCACAUCCAGACCAAUCCAGUUGAACUAAUCCCAUCAGAACUCCUCAGAGUUCAGGGAGGCUGGCAAAGCACUUGCGGACAGUGGAGAAGCAGCAGGAGAGAACUGGAGAGAGCCUGGGCGGCCCAGCCUUCCAGGAGUCUUCAGAGCCUCAGAGCUUCAUACCACAUACAGCCCAGCCUAGUUGAACUCAAUCCAAUCAAAAGCCCCCAGAGGACAGGGAAGCUAACAUUCCUCCCCUAGAGACUGUACCAAGAGAUCUGACAAAGCUCCAAGAGGGGAGACUGACAGCCCCAAAACCAAAACAAAAUGAGAGAAGCAAGAGCACAGCCAAAUACGGGGAGCAAAGAAGAGGUAAACUGGAGCAAACAACAGAAAAAGAAGAAAGAAAUUACAAUAGACAGCUUCUGCACAGGGGUCGUAAGGGGCUGGUCCCCAGCAUCUGGCGCCCAACAUGGGGCCCGAGCGACCACCGGACGACUGAGGAAAAAUUCGGCGCCGAAAUCGAGACUACAGUAACGGGUAGGGAUCGGAUAGACGAUCCUGAGGAAAUCGAGACUACAGUAACGGGUAGGGAUCGAACAGAUCCUGAGGAAGGGUAGGUCGUCCCAUUCAUAUCUCCCUCUCAAACCCCAUUGUGUGAAUGGUCGAAUGUAUGUGUGUUUUGAUGGCAACGGAAUAACAGUCCCCUUAUAUAUACGAAGUGCAGUUUCCCUCCCCCACCUGGGUCUGCUAGUACAAUACUAUGCGGAGGCCUCCUCUCUCGGACCUGGAUCUCCGGAGGUUAAGAAACACCUGAGGAGCGGUCUGAGGGGGAGGGGAAGGAAAAAGAAAAUUGGACCCAGGGAAACCCUCACUAGGGGCGAUUGAGAACUCGAAAAAUCUCACUCUGAAACAAACAGUUGCUAGAGCCUAGUGAAUUUCAAAAGGAGCAACUGGGAAAAGAAAAAGCAGGAGUUAAAAUUUCAUCAGGAAAGCAAAGUCAAAUUUACCGGCUCCUGAGACAAAAGGCUCCAAGAGCCAGGCUGCUAUUCAUAAACAAAAGCGGGAAAGGCUAGCAGACCAGAAGCAAGGAGCAAGCUAAUCUUCACAGGCAAAUUCCUGGGAUGCUUUUAAAAGGCUUAUCAAGAAGUAAUUGCUUUGACUCAAGCAGGGCACUUAAAGGGUCAGAAUUACUUGGAAAAAGGGAUCUAAUAAAACCACAGGUCUCAGCAAAAUUAAUGAAUCAAGGUAAUAAUCCUGAAUUAGGUUAAAUUCGGAACAGCCUAAGUUGUAAAAAGAUAUUGCCAUUCUGUAACCAAAGGCAGAAGAUUUAAAAAAAAAAAAAGCAAGCCUCCAAACUCAUUUAGCAUUUGAAAAAGGUCCUAGGAACUCUUUUGUUUGAGGUCCAGCCAGGUAAAGGCAGGCUUUACCUGGGUGCUGGGAAUUUGAAUUUUAAUUUAGUUUUAAUUUGGGUGGGAUUUAGGCAAAAUUAUAAAGGAAUGUCUGCUUAUAUUUUUUGAUAAAGGAAGUUAAAAAGGAGAAUUAAAUAUCUUUCUCUGACUUUUGUUAUAUGCCACAGAAUAUCAGGACUAGAAAUGUUUUAUCUGUAGAGAAAUUUUGGUAUAUAUCUCAAGGUAGUUAAAGUGCACACAGAAAACUUUUAAGGUUUGGGCUUAGAUCCGAAGCAGCUUGAGAUUUUUUUCUCUACCGGCCACGUGGCUUGAGCCACGUGGAAGAUAGCAUCAGAGCAACUGAGGUUGCAAGUUUUAUCACUAAGGCUGUAAUUGGCUAGAAGAAGAAAUUUAAUACUAAGAUAUAAUAAGCAUGAAUUGGAAUAUGAUUUAAAGGAAUUUCUAAAGCUUUCUAAUUUUAACUAUGGAGAAAUUAUUAACACUUUUCUAAGCAGGACAUAAAGCAACAGGAUGAAUCUUGAGCAGAGCUUAUUCAAACAGCCUGUAUGCAAUUCAGAAACUUUUACUGGGCAUAUUAACAUACCUGUAUCCAGAAAGCAAAUGAUUUAUAACUAGAAUAGCUUUUACUAUGGAAAAUUAAGACACAUGCUCAGCAGAGUAAAAGCAUGGUUAGAAGGAUUCAAUCUGUUUACCAGUGGUUAAUUAUUAAAGUUAUCAGGAACUCUGUUACUCAGUACAGUAAUUUAUUAAGGAUUUGAAAGAGGCAAUACUAUCAUGUAUUGAAAUUGCAGAUAUUGAAGCUGAUCAUGAUAUUGAAAAGAGACCUAUGAUAAUAAUGCAAAUUCAAAGGCUACUGGCAUAAUUUGAUUUAUUUCUGCAGUGAAGAUUUGCAGAAUUAGCAGAUGGAAGUAAUGAUUUUAGUCACAGUAUUAAGAUCUUUUCAGUUAUGAAGCUAAGGGCAGUAGUUCAGAAAUAACAACUUCUGUGCAAUUGUUUGAUAAUUCUAUGCUUAUUUGUACGGCAUAAGAUACUGCUAUAAUUUUAAUAACUGCACAAGGUGGAAAUUUUUCAAAAAGCAAAAAUUGUGUGCGGGCAGACAAAGGCUUAAGAUCCCAGCACACAUGGGUCAAUUCACAAGUGAUUUAUAGAAUGAUAUUUUUCUGAUUAUGGAUUUGAAAAAGCAAAUAUUUAAGCAUCUAUACAUGCUGCUUUGCAAAAUCUAUUGUACAUCUAUAUCCUGAACAAGCAGGUGAUAUCGCUUAUCAAUGCAAACUGCUGUGGAUUAAUUUCACCCCUGAUAGACAUCCAUGCAUAUUUUGGAGCAAAAGGUGCAUUUCAGUUUGCUCCUGGCACAAAGGUUGAACUGUGAAAAGUGAUGGGAGAUACUUACUCUCCUGGUUUAUGGGUUCAAGCUCAAAUGAAGAAGUGAGCAAAGUGAUUGCAGAUUUUAUAAAUAUCUGUGCACAACUGUCUAUUCCAAACAGCUUGGAAUAGCAGGGCUUUUAACAGCAAUGCAAAGGCUAAAUUGCAUAGCUCAUGGCUUACAUACAAGCUAUGGUAAAUAGAGCUCAAAGGAAUUCAUGAGCCCCAAGGUUCAAAAACUGAAGGUAUAUAUGUUCUGUCACUUUCUAACUUUCUAAGACCCAAUGAGGCUUUCAUUUGGGGUCGAGGUUUUCUGUUUACUUUCUCAGAUACAUGGAGUCCAUGGAAGAUGAUUAAGAGCAUCUGAUGGCAAGAAAAUCUGCCCGGAAGAAGGACAGAAGGCAGAGGUGUCUGGCACAGGACACCAGAAAAGCAGCACAUGGACUGUAAAGGCUGCCCUAUAGGCAGGUUUAACACACUAUGCACACACAUGCAAUUGUAUGAGAAACAAUGUACAUGCAGAAGAGUAUCAUUAAGUCACUAACAGAUAUUCUGUUCUAGGAAUAUAUGGGUAUUUGGUAAAAGAUCUAACUUUAUUACAUGCCUGACAAUUUUGAAUGGUAUUGGUACAAUGUGUAACUUGAAAUGAUAUUAUUGGAAUUGUUCCAUGUUAGCCAAAGUUGAUCAAAUAUCAAAAGGGUAUAAUUGGGAAUGUUAGGACAGUAUAAUGAAUGCUGUCCACUUGCAGCACAAAAGGAUAUUACUAUCCAAAAUGUAAUGAUGAUUAUGAUCUUAAAGGGUACAUUAUAUUUGCAAACAACAUGUCUUUAUGAGAAUCAGACUUAUCUAGAAGUCAAUUUUGUUAAGCUGUGACUGUUCCACUUUCAUAAGGAAAAGAGGUGGAUAUGCUAUCACUAAUCAUCUAUCUCUUCUACACCCCAGAAAGAAUAUAAGUUAAAGCUUUGUAGUAAUCAAUAUUGAAUGUAAUGAUAGAGAUCACAUUGUGUGAGAUACCUGAAGUGGGUUAAAUAUCAUCAAGAUAUUAAGACUGUAACGGACCCAAGGGGAUGAUAAUGUUGGGUCGAGGUCUUGUUUAUAUGUUCACAGAUAAUGAGAACAUCUGGUCACCCACGUCAUGCUUCAUGCCAGCUGAUACAGACCAGGAAGAGAAGCAGACGGAAGGUGAUGGCAUCAGCUACCUACAUGCCAGCCACAAUCCAGACUCGCUGGAAGGACACUUCUUUGGUGACUAAUAUCACUCUAGAACAAUGACAUUACACUAUUAGAGACAUUGGCUAUUAGGCCACUGACGGACACUUGUCAUGCUGACAUCCAUUGAGAUGGGGUACCCAGAGCAACAUCAAGUAUGCUAACUCAGAAGGACUAAAUCACACUUGUGUCUGUACAAGACACCAGAUACAUCCCACAUUCCAAAGACUUUGCGAUGGGAUUGAGAUGAAAUAGCUACAAAUUGUCUAGCUAAUAAUGUAUACCUUGUAUUUUGUAUAUGAUACUGUCAAAGGGAAUUUUGUAUGCAUUAUGAAUUGUAUGCAUUGUAAAGCUACCACUUGUAUUGUAAGAAAUGCUGUUAUCAACAAGGGUAUAGACCUUGGUAUGAUUCUCCAAAGAAGUAGGAGAUAGAAAACUUUCAUUCAUAGCAUAGAUCUGAUACCUCUGACAACAAAAAUGAGGUGCUAAGCAGAAAAUGCUGCACAGACAGGUUUAAUGGACAGAUGACACUGAUGUUACUCUCAAGAAAGAAUGAGAGAUCAGGAAAAAGACAUUAGGAAAUCUUUAAUCAGGAACUUGAGUUAUUGUAAGAGAUCAUUGACAUCCAGGCAAAGAUUAUGUUCCUGACAUUACAUUAAGGGCUGACUACCAUAGCAGUAGUUGAGUGUUAAUACCAUUGUUAACCAUUACUCCUGAUACCCUGUUUUUGUGGGUAAUAUCUUGAUAGGAAAAAUGUCUUGCUCUCCUCCAACAGUCCCAGAAUUCAGACGGCCGCUGGAUUCGGGAUCUAUUGGCUUCCCUUUCAUAUACUGGAAGACGUUCUGGUAUAUGGAAGUAAGACCUCAUGAAAAACUGAGGGCUCUAGGUUUGACAAUUUCUGUGGACGCGCAGUCAUUGUCUCUCCUAGGUGGAAAAAAUUAUUAUUGCACAAAAACAUGGAGCAAGGGCAAAGUAUAAUCUAAGUUUUAUUGUUUUGGAGUAUGGAUUAAAAACAUGACACAAUAGGCACAGAUAAGCUUGUAGAAAAAGCACAUUGAAUAUUAUACACUGACAACUAGGAAUGAAAAAGCUAUGUCAAAUGCUGUAGGUACAAGAAACUGUAGAAAUUGUUUCUACAGGGGAAACAACUUAAGCUUCUAUUUACCCAAACAUUGGUUUGGUGGAAUGAAUUUUGCAAAUAUUGGUAAUGGUAUAGGCUUGGUUAUCAUAUUGAUGGAUUUAUUUAUACAAGCAGAGAUUUAAAAUAAGGAAGACAUUAGGACUAUGCAGUCAGAACUUGAAAUAUUACUUCAUUAUCACCAUCAUGGUUAUUUAAGUUACAAUUGAGAAUGUAAAAUGGAUGGGAAUAUUGGUAUUUGUUAAAAGUUGCACUGUGAUUGAUGUAUUGAUGUUCUUUCAAAGCCUGUAAUGGUGCAAAAUUAUGUUCAUAUACAAGGCGAAUUUUGAUCUAUUUAGAUCAGGAAUUAGAAAUCAUUGGGAACAUAAGUUCUGAUAUUUUACAUUGGCUCAGUUUCAAAGAUACCACAUAGACAGUGAGCCAAGAGAAUCUUGUAUUAAUUUUGGGAUCAGGUUCCCAGGAUCGAUUUUCUAAGAUCAUUUGACAUGUGAUAAUAUGAUCCUCCAGAAAUGUUUAGAGAGGAUGUUUUUCUUUGAAGGGAUCUCUCCCAACACACAAACAAAAAGAAAAGGGAGAGGAAUCUUAUAGAGAUCAGUAUUUAUAUUUUUAGAGGACACUUUUUAAAGUCACUCUUGAUUGAUCAACCUUGAUUUUUUUCUUUUACACUAUUAAGGCCAGAACUUUGAGUACAAAGAAAGUACUGUUAAUGCUCUGAUCCAGAAUUAUGAAGGUGCAAAGAUUUCUAGAAUUACAGUCACCUAACAGUCGGUGAACAUGAGAACAUGACAGCAAUUGUUAAUUUUCAGAUGACCAUACUGGAGAGUGAUGUCUGAUUGCAUGUAAGGGGAAUCAUAAUGAAUCUUUCAUUAUGGACCAGACAGCCUCAGCCACGGUUACAUUUUCCAUGUGAAAUGGAUGUUUGAGGUUGGGAAAUGCAGAGACAUGGCGUACUGACACCCUCAGUCGCUGGACGUCCUGGCAUCGAGCUACCAACCAGUUUCCUAUGUGGCAGGCAUCUGGCAGUGAGCACGGAAAGAUCCCCAAGAUGCAGUAUCAGGACGAGAGAAAGGAAGGACUUAUCCUUCAUCUCCAGGGAUAGUAUUUUGCUAACUGUUGAAAAGGCUGACAACUUCUGAUAGUCCAGACUGUGAAUGGUGGCAUGUUUGGUUAUUGCACCUGUCAUGUGAACCAUGGAGUUCUACCUCAUUAGACCAGGAUCAGUAGCGUGGAAAUUUUUUUCUUAACAUUUUUAUAUCUACUAAGUCUGUUACAUUGAUCUUGAAAUGCAGACAGGCAGAUAGAAAGAUCAGUUUGGGAAUUUUUAAGAUUGAUCACGGAAUCAGUUUAUGCUGAUGUUCAUUAUGGAUUGGGAUAUCUAAGUUAUACAAUCAGGAUAGGUUUUUCAUCUCUGUAUCAGAAUAUGAUUAUGCACCAGAGUGUUUGUAUUUGUUAAUGCUGUAAUAUUGCUACAUUUUGAUAUUACACUAUUCAUUUGUGUGUAAAACAAAAAGGGGGAGAUGUAGCAGCCCACUCCUAACUAGGGGCAAGGGGAACAGCCAGUCUUGGGCAUGCUCAGUAGUGCUCAUGGCUGGGAAGGCCUCUGACCCUUGACCCCAGCUUCUCCCAGGUUAGGCGGGAAAACAGGUUUCUUUGUUCUCACCUGGUUAAGAGAAACCACACCUAUGCCUUGUCAUUGACCAAUGAGAAUCAUCCCUAUGUACUGUGUAUAUUUGCAUAUCAAAAACUAUAUCUAGCCCAGCAGGCUCCGCCUUCGCUCUCUCUGCCCUCUGCCCUCUGCUCUCUGCUUUCUUCUCUCUGCGCUCUGCGCUCCUUCUCUUUCAGGCUACCUGAUGGCUGUCCUUGCAGGAGCUUGGCCUCUGGCCAAGCUCCAUCUUUAAUCUUUCUCUCUCCCCCUUUCCUUUAUAUACCAUGCUUUUGCCUCAAUAAACGACUUCUCUUUGCAUACCAUGUGAGAGCUGUCCGUACCUUCUUUCUCUCUUCCCCUUUCCUUCUCUCUCUCCCCCUUUCCCUCUCAGGGGUCGUAAGGGGCUGGUCCCCAGCAAGAAAUCCUAGCGAAUUGGAUACAGGCUUUGGAAGAACUCAAAAUGCAAUUCAAAACACAAUUAAGAGAGGCUGAAGACAAUUGGGAAAAGAACUUAAAAACUAAGAUAAAUCAUCUGGAAACAGAAAAUAGUGUCUUGAAAGCCAAAAUCAACCAGCUGGAAAAUGAGGCAAAGGAGAUGAAAGAUGAGGCAAAACAGAUGAAAGAUGAGGUGGAGAAGAUGAAAGAUGACCUCCAAAGAAAAUCCGACAAAAAGGAAAAGGAGGACCAAAAAACUAAGGAUGAAAUCCAGUCUUUAAGAACCAGAAUACAACAACUUGAAUCGAGCGACCUCACAAGGCAGCAAGACACUAUAAAACAAAACCAAAAGAAUGAAAAAAUUGAGGAAAAUAUGAAGCAUCUCAUUCACAAAACAGAGGAUUUAGAAAAUCGUUCAAGGAGAGACAAUUUAAGAAUUAUUGGCCUACCUGAAGACCAUGACAAAAGAAAAAGCCUGGACAUUAUAUUACAGGAAAUUAUUAAAGAAAACUGCCCCGAAAUCCUUAAACAAGAGGGAAAAGUGGAGAUUGAUAGAAUCCACAGAUCACCUCCUGUACUUAAUCCCCAACUGACAACACCCAGGAAUGUUAUAGCCAAAUUCAUAUUGUCUCCCCUCACUUUUUAAGGCAAAAAUUGUUUUCAGUUUUGCAUCCUUCAGACCUAAUGGGGUAGUGCUUAAUCAAUACUUAUGAAUUGGAUUACAUGUGCCCUAACUCUAUUCCAUCUUCUCAAGGACCUUGUUCAUUCAUUAUGACUCUUCUAAUGCAUUUUUUAGCCCUUACUUUCUGUCUUAGAAUGGAUACUGAGAAUCAAAUCAAUUGGGGUUAAGUGACUUGCCCAGGAUCACACAGCUAAGAAGUGUCUGAGGCCACAUUUGAACCCAGGACCUAAUGGUUCUCUAUCCAAGUAUGCCACCUAACUACUCCAUAAUGCAUUUUCAAUCUCCCUCUCUCCACUGACUCUCAUUUGUGUAUAGUUACAUUCACUCCAAUCCUUUAAAAAAAAAUCUAUUCUUUGAUUUUUUUCUAUACUUCAAUUCUGCUUUGUCACUAACUAUUGAGGAUCACUAUUGGGAUCACAUGGUAGCAGGACACAUAGCUUUAACAGUUUACCCAUACUGCUGCCUAAAAACAGAGCAAACAUAGACUUUAGACCCAGAAUUAUUGCCAAUUUCUUUCUUCCUCUUUGCUGACAAACUUUUUGAAAAAUCUACACAAUUACUUCCUUUCAUCUCUUCAAUACCUUGUAACAUAGUUUCUAACCAACAGCACUUUACUAUAAUGGCUCAAUCAGAGUGCCAAUCUAUUGCCCUUUUCUUGGCAUUAAUUCUCCUUAACUUCUCUAGAAAGCAAUAGAUCUUGUUUAAGUUGAUGGUAUUCACAUAUUCCAGGAUAUCCAUACUUAAAUUUCAGUGAAAUUACUUCCCUUAGCUUCCAUGACACUCCACUUUCUUAAAAUUUCUAUCUCUCUAGUCACUCUUCUGGUGCCUUUGCUGACUAUUCUUCCUUUUCUUAAUUCUCCUAAUACAUUGAUAAUUCCCAAAUCUAAGAUUCCAACCCUGAACUCUUUCUUAAGCUUCGUAUCUAUUCUUAAAUGCCUUUAAGACAGCUCCACCUGAGUGUUUCAACAGUAAUUUAGCUUAAUAUGGACAAAACUUUAAUCCUAAAUUUGAUCAUCUUUUGAAUUCUCUGUCCUUGUCAACAGCACCACUAUUGACUCAUGAUUGAAAAUUUAGUGUUAACUAAAUUUUGUUUAGUUAACUAAACUAAAUUUGUUGCUUGACUUUUCCCUCAAACCUCACUUUCAAUAGCUAGUAAGUCAAUGAACAUACUUAAUAAAAUGCAUUCACUAUGUAUAAGGCACUGUGCUAAGUGCUCAGGAUACAAAUAAAAACAGAAAGAAUAGUUGUUGGCCUCAAGGAGUUUAUAUUCAAGAUUACAAAUAAAAGGGCAGCUGAAAAAAAGCAUGGAGGGAGGUGCUCUGGCAGGUACAUGGUGUCAGGAGAACCUUUCUCAAAAGAGAAAGAGCCCGAAGGAACCUAUUGAUCCUCCCUCUGAAAUAUCUCAGAUGAAGGUUCCAAAUGACAAAAACAAGAUACUUCCUAAUGUGGUACAAUGUAAGAAGAUCUAUAAGACCUAGGUUUAAAUUGGUCUCUAAGUACAAGUUAAUCCCCUUCUCCAAGCCUAAUUUCUUCACCCUUUUUUUAUAACCACCUGUGCCUAAUUCAGGGGUUUAGCAUCAAAACCAGUGGUCUUCCAACACUUUGUCUCUCUCUGCUCCAUUCUACCUAUUAAACCACUCUCUCUAGUGUCUCUAAGCAACUUUCUCAAAGGACAGGAAUUCAGAAAAAACAUUAAUUCAGAAAGAUACUUUCAGGCUAGACCUGAUUUCCCAGUUCCAUUGCCAUAACCCUAUGGCUCCCAAUCAACACCAAUCCCUAUUUUCUCAUCAAAAUAUUCACUGACUUGCCAAAUACCCUAUCACCAAUACUUCUUCUCCAGACCUGAAUUUCUUACUAUCACCAACAACCUAUUGCCCUCUGCAUCUAAUACAGCAUUCAAACAUUGAUCAAAUACUAAGUAAUCUGGUGGAUGUUCCCAAACUACUGGCCUCCACUUGCCUCCACUAUACCUCAUAAUAGUGAAAGGAGCAUAGAGAGCCAUUGCACAAAGCAGACCUUUGGUCAUUUAUGAUGCCCAAUAUCACAAUUCAGAGAUGGAUCUAUCUUACUGGCACAAUCUAUCUAUUAUUGCCAGUUAAUCUUCCUUACACACAGAAUUUAGGAACUAGAUAGAUAUGAAAACCAAGGAAGAAAGAAGAGCCAAAGAUGAAUUUCAGGAGAUUUUUAAGUCUAAAUAUCCUAAAAUAUGUAAAUGCCAUCAAUAGAAAUGGAAAAGGCAGAAGAAAAAGAAGGUUUUCAGGACAAGAUGAUUCCAAUAUGGAAACUGUUGAGUUUGAGAUUCUAAUGGGAAAUCGAGGAAAAGAUACCCAACUGGAAUUUUGAAAUGGAGAAUUAAAGAGAGAAGUGCUGGAAAUAGAAUCUGGGAGUCUUCCAAAUAGACAAGAUAAUUAAAACCACAAACAUAGAUAAAAUUUCAAGACUGAAGAAAUAGAGGCAUGAGAUGGAAGAUGUGAGAUAAAUAUGACUAAAAGAGAGUAGUAUACGAAGUCAAUGAAAAAGAGAGAAAAGGAUUGGUCUGAGAUAUAUGAAGAUAACCAGGAAAGAAUGAAGGAGAAAAUAUCAAUAAAAAGAGGAUGGUUAACUCUGUCAAAUGGUGCCAAGAGACUAACAAUGAAGACGGAAAAAAGGUUAGUGAAUUUCAUUAUGAGAUUAUUGACAACCUUAAAAAGUUUCAAAAGAGAUGAGAACAAAAGUCAGAAUGUAAGUGAUUAAGUAGAGAAUAAAUAUAGGGCAUGUAAACUUCUUUUUCAGAAGUGUGGCAAUAAAGGGGGGGAAACAGGAUAAUGGUUUGAGGCAUCAACAGGGUCAAAGAAAAGUAAAGUUGGAGAAAACAUGAAGCAUGUUUGUAGCCCCAGCAUCACACUUCACACAACUCUAGUGUGGCUGCCAACUUUUUGUCAGCCUUGGUCCCAGAAUUUUAGAAUUCAUCCUUACCCUACUCAGAACACUAUUCUGAAGAGGUAAACAUGUCUGCAAGCCAACACUGAUAGAUUUAUCUCUAGAUAAAAUGGCAGGAAAAUAGAGCUUAACUUUUUUCUCAGCCUGAACCAACUCACUGAUCUCUAGAUCAUCCCAGCAAUUUGCCUAACAAGUUAGACAUCUAUUUGAUAGCACAGCACCUUGAACCUAUUAAAUCGUCAAACUAACUGAGUACAACAAAUAUUUAUUAAAAUGGCCCCAUAUCUCUGUCAUGCUAACUUCAACAUAAUCCUCUGCUUUCCACUUAAAACUGACUCUAUCUACAUUUCUAGUCCUACACUUUGAGGAGGUUAAAACCAUGUGAUCACUUUCUAUGCUUGAAAUGGUUCUCCUCCCUAAGCCUUUGCCCUCAAAAUAAUUGCUUACUCCACUGAGAAUGACCUUGCAAAAAAUAAAUACUUAAUAAAUACCUGAGUAAUUGAAUUAAACUAAAAUAACUAGCAGCUAUUGAAGGUUACUGAGGAAGGUUUAUCUUUGACUAUUGGCAAAUAAUCUUUAAAAUAUUUAAAAUUUUUAAGAUUUAAGUUUUUAGGAGACUCAGAAAUAAACAUUCUAACUAUAACAAUAUUACUGGCAUUUUCAUCUUAAUCAGUUUUUAACACAGUCUUCUGCUGCUAAGAGGUUAGUAAAAGAUUGAACAAAUUAACUGAAGUGGUUUGUAUAAUGAUUAGGGAAAAAAAGUUGCAGAGCUAAGAACUAAGAUAAUGAAUGGGAUUUAGAGUUCAAAGAGACCUUAAAAUCUUCUAGUCCAACCUAUUCAUCUUAUAGAUGAAGAAUAUGGUCCAGAAAAAUCUAAAUGACUUGCCUAGGGACUCAUCAGUAGUUAAAAGGUUAGAAUUUUAAUGUUGGUCUUUCUUUUGAUUCCUAAUUUCCACUACACCAUGUCAUCAUGGUAGAAAACCAUCUGGUAGAAAGCCUAAGAAGUCAGAAUGAGUUUGGACUUCGUCAGAAAAGCAGCAGAAAGUCAUCAGAGGCCUUGUUUUUUGUUGUUUUCUUUUUUAUCAGAUAGCUGAUGUAUAUAAAUUGGUAUAUAAAGAAUAUUACCCUCAUAAAUUGUGUGUGGAAAGGAGAUUCAUUAGAAGACUAUUGCAAUAAGAGGAAAAGGACCCAAGGCCAAGCCUUGGGAAAAAUCUAAUUAUUAAGUAGUGAGGAAAAAGAGAAAUCAGCUAAGGGAAUAUCAAAAUCAUAUCUAGAAAGACAAGAAAUCAGAAAUGAACACAAUUUCUAAAAUGAGGUUUGAAAAAGAGUAUUAAGGUAACCAGAGGCAAAUAUGAAAAUAACUGAUAAAUAGAAUUAGAUAAAAGGAGAUUGCUAAUGAAUGUUUGAAUAGUUACUCAAAUAUGUUGAAUGAUGAAGACCUAACUAGGAAGAAUUUAAUGAUGAAAGAACUGAAGAAUAUAAGAAUGGGAACACAGUGUUUUAUUAUUUGAAGUAUAAGAGUAUAAAAUUAAUCUGAUGCCAUUCUGGAAUAGUAAGGACAUUUUCUUCAAGAUUGUUAUGAAAGAAAGAAUAUAUCUGAUCUGAGAAAGAAAGAAUUCUGCAAGGUCUCCAUUUCAAUGAAGGUCAAAAUUUCAUCAACAGUAAAGAAAAAUAGAAAAAUACUAGGAAUUUAGGAAAGAAUUCAAAAUCAAAACUGUGUGAAAUAAAAUACUUCCAUCCUAUGGCACCCCAACGAUGGGUGUUAUAAAGUAAUGUCAUAUGUAAUGGCCUGGUGUCCUCUGGCAUCAGUGUGUCAGCAUCACCAUGCAAUGUCACCCCAGAGGAAGGAGUUCAUUUAAAAUGUAAAGGGGGUGAGAGGAAGGAGAAAGGGCCUCUUGACUUCCAUUCUUGAACAGACUGACUCUCUGGGCUGGCGCUUGGCAAUUGGCAGCAACAGUGUGGAGGGCUUAAACAGUAUGCUGGGCUGAAACCUGGGACCAGGCCUUACCUUAAAUUAGUAGGGCUGAAAUCUAUUUCUCUCUCUCUCUCUUCUAUCUCUCUCUUAUUUUAUUAAUAAAUGCUUAUAACUCUGGCCAGACCACCUUUUAUUUGUCACAAAACAUAAAAACUGAAGGCUUCAGAUUCAAGAAAGGAGGAAUAACAAUGGUACCUUACAGUGAUUAGAAAAGGAUGGUAGUAUAAGAGUGUAACUGUUAUGGACAACAUUAUUUCCUACAAAAGACCUUUUCUGAGCAGAGAAGCAAAGAAAAAAGACAUCUAAGACUGAGACAAGGUGUAACAGAAGAAUGAUAGGACAAGAAAAUACAGAGUACUAAAUUCAAUCUCAAAUUAUGGAUAUAUGGGUGGAAAAAGGGGAUGGGAAAUUGGGUUUGUACACAGUCUCUUCUCUAGACUUCUGAUACUUCAGAAAUAUAUGUUUUGAGGGCCUAGGUCAGUGAUGGUAAACCUAUGGUACAGGUGCCAAAGAUGGCACACAGAGUGCUCUCUGUGAGGCACAAAUGCUGCACUCCUACUAGAGUUCAGUACUAGAAAGGCAGAGGGGCCCAGGCAGAGAUGCUCCCCUCCACCUCUCCAUUAUGCCUGAUGAUAUUUUUUUCACCUCCCUGCCUCUGCCUAGUAGCCCAAUGGGAGUUCACAGGGAAUAAUGUGCACAGCUCACAAGCAGCAGAGCUAGAGGGCAGUAGAGUGCCCAAACCACUCCCCACUCUCUACACUCACUAAGGACAUUCCUCACUUCACCCACCUCCACUGGGAGCACUUCCUCCCCUCCCCUGCAUUGGGUAAGGAAAGGGGGGCAUGCCCAGCACUCAGCCAAGGUGGGGGCAGGGCCCAGCACUCCCUCUCUACUAAAAGGUUCACCAUCUCUGGCUUAGGUCAAUCUGCUAAAGGAGAGGAAGGCAGAAAGCUUAGUGGUCUCAAAUGGUGGGGAGGGGGUUGGAGGGGCAGGAAGCAACCUAAAGAGGAUUUAUGAGAACAUGAUUUUACUGGCUCUGUAGCAUCUUGGGGAAAAUCUAAUUACUAAGUAGAGGAAAAAAUAAAAACCAGCUAAAGGAUCACCAAAGUAAUGUGCAAAAAAAAAAGAAGAAGAAGAAGUAAAUUAUGUAAGCAACAUUUCAUUGAUCUGACUUCUUCCAAAGCCAUCCCUAAAAUUAAGCCAAUGAUGUUUUCCAUUAAAGACUGACCCGUGCAUAUUGGCCACACAGCAAAAAGAAUUUUCCAGCUGAAAAAUGUUUCUUUUCUCCCUCAAAAUAUAAAGCAAUGCUCUGAUAGUCUUCAUUAGUUGUAUCCUCAGAACCUGUAACAGAAACAAAUUAAAUUUAAUUCUCCAUCUUCAAUCUCAGGAGUAUGUUAACACUGCUAACUCUUCCUAUCUGCCUCCAAUAUCCUUCAGUUGAAAUGGGUUUAUUCCUAUUGAAACAGAAAAUGGUCUAAAUAUAGAGCAUGAGAUGAGGGGGGAAAUGGUCUAUGCAGGUCUUAAAUGUACAUAAGUAAGUCUCCUAGGGAAUAUAAAGAAGCUAUGUUGAUGGAAAAAAAAUUAAAGCAUUACUACUAUUCCCCUGCCAUGGUCAGGGGAACUGGUUUACUUUAAGCAACAGAAAAGACAAAAAAGAGGGAAGAAAUUAUUGACAAUUACAGAGGGAAUCAUGAUAAGAAAGAAAACAGAAAAAGGAAACAAAGGAAAAAGUACUUUUAUACUGAGAGCACCUACAAUUUUACAUGGUAUGUAAAAUAAAAAUAGCCCAUUGGAAUUUUGCAAUAUUUACCAAUAAUAUCAGCAUAAAGUUCCAUCUGAUUAUGCUGCUGGGCCAGGGUGAAAGCUUCAUUAUUGCACUUGGACAUCACCAGAAAUUGGAUAGCAGAACCAUAGUCACCCAACUGGAGGAAGAAUCUAAUCCAAAUAAAGAUAUAUGUGACAUUUAAAAAAUGUUUUAACUGGCACACUUGGCUGAAAGCAUGUUGCUCUUGUUUCAGAACCCACUCCCAUUAUCAAUUUGAUUGCCAACAUUUAUUAUAUAUACCAACAAUGCCAAUGAUAGCUGACAUUUAUGUCCACAUGCCCAAUUAUGAAACAGCUCCAAUGAAAAUACUUGAUAGUAAUAUGAUAGCUAAUGGUCUAUCAAAACAAAAUUUAAUUCCCUAUCUUUUGCAUUCAAAGAAUUCAAGAACUAAAACAAUCCCUUUAUAGAUGUGGAAGAAAAUAAGACUAUAGUAUUCAUUGAAGUCCUUUGAGUUGCAUUAAAAAAAGUCUAGUGAGAAACUUAAGAACUUAAGAAAAUAAACUUCCAAAAUAAACUUUUCAUCUAACUUCUUACGGUUUUAUUAAAUGUGAUCCCCAAAGGGCAGGUAGGUUGCUCAGUGGAUAGAGAGUCAGACCUGGAGUCAGGAGGAUCUGGAUUCAACUCUGACCUCAGACUAGCUAUAUAUGACCCUUGGCAACUCACUUAAUCCUCAUUGCCUAGCCCUUAACACUCUUCUGCCUUGGAACCAAAACACCUUAUUGAUUCUAAGACAAAAGGUAAGGGUUUAAAAAAAAUGUGAUCUCCAGACACUCAAAAGAGAUGAUUUUUUGAAUAUGAAAUUCCAGACCCCCCACAUAAUUCUGUAAUCUGUAAUAUUUCUAUCUAUUCUGUUUUGAUAGUCCCCCCAUAAUUUAAACUUUUGACUUUAUUCAAAUUAGGCUGCCUGAGCUGCACAUCCUUCUCUAUUAUAGGUUUGUGCUUCCUCUUAUUUUUUUUUUAAUAAAAACCCUUACUUUCUGUCUUAGAAUCAAUACUGUGUAUUGGUUCCAAGGCAGACAAGUGGUAAGGGAUAGUAAAUGGGGGUAAAGUGACUUGCCCAGGGUCACACAGCUAGGAAGUGUCUGAGGCCAGAUUUGAACCUAGGACUUCCUGUCUCUAGGCCUGGCUCUCAAUCCACUGAGCUUGGGCCAAUCCUGGACCAAAGAACUACAACUGCAUUUCUGACAUCAUUUCUGUAAAUCAUGUUAUAUAAGGGGUCCAUUCUCAAGACUCAAAGUCUUCUGAGGCUAAUCAGAGGCCAGGCUUAUUGAGAGACUGGAUGCCUCUCUCAAUAAACCUAUUUCUUUUUGGUUUGGAGACUUGAUUUUUAUUUUUUGUGUCUCUGCUAAUAGGUUCACCACAACCUUAGUAAUCUACAUUGGAACAACCAAGGAAAUGAGGAUGAAUAUUUCCCAGAUUAUGACUG